AUGUUGGACCUUGUGGACGACUACAGAACCCGAGACCAGGAUUUUCGCAAGUCCCUCAACGGACUAUGCGGAUUGUACCAAGUACCCUUUCGUUUCGUCGAGACCGGCAAGUCCGAAGACCGCGUGUACCUCUACCGUUGCCAAGUACCUCUUGGAUCCGACAAGUACCCCGAUGACAUGUGUACCACUACGCCCGAAGACCUUGGAUGCGCCAAGUUCUACUACAUGGACCGCCAAGUUCCUGUACCUGUGACUCAAACAUCUAUUAAAAUGUGUACCUCUACCACCGUCUUCGGAAUCGCCAAAAACGCCAAGUACCCCGACGCCCGAUGCCUAGAACGACUACCAUUGUUGUGGAUGCCUAGAACGACUACCGUCAACAUGGAUUCGUCAAGUUCCCCGAUGACCGUGUACCACUAUCGCUCCCUGAACAUGAACGAUCAUUUCCUCUUCGACUCGUGA
rnacentral:rRNA from 1 species